CUAACAUUGUUUGGGAGGCAGACACACUCUUGCAGUUUAAAUCUAGAUUAAAGACCCAUCUCUUUAACCUGGCAUACACAUAACAUACUAAUAUGCUUUUAAUAUCCAAAUCCGUUAAAGGAUUUUUAGGCUGCAUUAAUUAGGUCACCGUGGCCACCAGAUCCAGUCUGUGUCCAGAUCAGAGGGUCACUGCAGUCACCCGGAUCCAGUACGUAUCCAGACCAGAUGGUGGAUCAGCACCUAGAAAGGACCUCUACUGCCCUGAAAGACAGCGGAGACCAGGACAACUAGAGCCCCAGAUACAGAUCCCCUGUAAAGACCUUGUCUCAGAGGACCACCAGGACAAGACCACAGGAAACAGAUGAUUCUUCUGCACAAUCUGACUUUGCUGCAGCCUGGAAUUGAACUACUGGUUUCGUCAGGUCAGAGGAGAACUGACCCCCCAGCUGAGCCUGGUUUCUCCCAAGGUUUUUUUCUCCAUUCUGUCACCGAUGGAGUUUCGGUUCCUUGCCGCUGUCGCCUCUGGCUUGCUUAGUUGGGGUCACUUCAUCUACAGCGAUAUCGUUGACUUGAUUGCAAAUUAAAACAGACACUAUUUCAACUGAACAGAGAUGACAUCAAUGAAUUCAAUGAUGAACUGCCUUUAACUAUCAUUUUGCAUUAUUGAGACACUGUUUUCCAAAUGAAUGUUGUUCAGUGCUUUGGCGCAAUGUAUUUUGUUUAAAGCACUAUAUAAAUAAAGGUGAUUGAUUGAUACA